rnacentral:ncRNA from 1 species
UGCGAUGAGUCGAGAAUAGUCAGGCGAUUUUAAAAUCGUUCCGCUGCGGCGGCUAGUGACUUUUUCAAGCGGAGUACAAAUGCUAGCGGAUUUCUAGCGUACUUAUAGAUUGCUAUUGUGGAAUGG